CCAGAUCCCAACGAGGCAACCACGCCGCCACCCACACCCACCCACCACUGGCACCGUAGCCUCGUCUCCUCCCCUCGAUCCACCCUCGCGCCGGCACCGCAGCCUCGUCUCCACGACCUCGUACCAUCCACGCUUGCUCCACAGCGCCUCCGACGACCGCGCCCGGAGCGCGACGGCGCCGCCGUUCCGAGCACUUACGGCGUCGGCCCGGCCCCCAAAACCCUCGCGGCGGCCACGCAUCCCUCCAUCGUUCGCCGUUGUCGCCGCCGCCACGCGAUGCCCGUGGGCAUCUGAUCCAUGUCUCACCCCCACGCCUGCGCCCCCAAGCGUCGUCCUAGGGUUCUGUUCUGCGGCUGACCGGAGUCCAAGCCAUGGCGCGGAAGAUGCUCAAGGACGGGGAGACGCGCGUCAUCGCUGACGGCGGGGGCGUGGAGAGCUACGACUGCGACCUGUUCGUCUGAGAUCCACCGCGUUCGUCCAUCGAGGACAUGAGGACCUUGGAACCAUGGCGACCAUGACCAGCGAACAAAUGGGGCCACCGGGUUCAGCAUCAUCGACUGACCAUAGUCCUUGGCGCUUGCUCAGGAUGCUCCGACGAUCACCAGAAUUCCCUUCAGAGCCAUACUUCAUUUUUUGCUUGGUAUGCUGCUGGUCUGAAUCUACUUACAUGCUUGACUUAAUUUAACUUGGUGCUGAAACAAGCACUCGGUUGGGGCCUCCUGGGCGAUGCCUACGACCGCUGCGGCGAGGUCUGCGCCAAGUACGCCACCUUCUACUUUGCUACUCCACUGAACUACAGUACUGAAGUACUGCUUGAACUACUGCAGUGUUGUUUCCAAUACAGCAGUAUUGGAGUAUUGCUUCCGAUUACUGGAGUAGCAAGUGCAUUAAUAGUAAGAUAGAAUCUGGACGCCCUUCCCUGGUCGAUGACACCCUUCCCUGGUUGACGACACCCUUCCGUCGUGGGCUCUUAGUAGGACGGCGACCCACAAGAUCCACACCCUUGUGGCCCUGUGACCCUCAAGCUCGACGGCUAGAUCCCCUACGGCCAAGCCCUUCUACUCGAGAGUCAAGUCCCAGUCCGACUUCUCUGCUUCCCAGCUGCUCCUUCAGUCCGGCUUCAGCAGCUCACUUCUCACCACGACCAGGAAAUGAAAGAUCGCUCGACAAACGGCCGCUUCCAGUCAGUUGGAUCUGAUCUUAUACCCGCACACGAGAGCUACUGGAGCAGCAGCAGAUUAACAAGGACCCAAGCUGGACUCCCAAGUUCUUCGGCUCAAGGCGCUAAGGUGCUAAUGUGUUGGAGACGUGCCUGUACUUGUUGAGCGUUUUAUCUGUAGAGUGCUAUAUUGUGAUUGGUGUAAUAUUGUAUGGUUAUAUUGUGAUUGGUGGAAUGUAAUAAACUUGAUUGGUAUAUUGGUGAUUUGGCUGUUAUUUGAAUAUAUUUAAAAUGUGUUCUCUGAUUGGUA